rnacentral:rRNA from 1 species
UUCGAUUAAGCCAUGCGAGUCGCGAGUCUUAGGGACUCGGCGUACCGCUCAGUAACACGUGGGUAACCUGCUCUAUGCUGGGGAAUAACCUCGGGAAACUGAGAAUAAUGCCCCAUAGUUCACCACGCCUGGAACGGUGGGUGGAUCAAAGCUCCGGCGGCAUAGGAUGGGCCUGCGGCGUAUCAGGUCGUAGGGGGUGUAAUGUACCCUCUAGCCAUCGACGCGUACGGGUGUUGGGAGACAUUGCCCGGAGAUGGAUUCUGAGACACGAAUCCAGACCCUACGGGGUGCAGCAGGCGCGAAAACUUGGCAAUGCGAGAAAUCGUGACCAGGGAACUCCAAGUGCAUCGGGUAAGACCGAUGCUUUUCUUGACUCUUCAACGGUCUUGGAAUAAGGGGUGGGUAAGGACGGUGCCAGCCGCCGCGGUAAUACCGGCGCCUCAAGUGGUAGUCGCUUUUAUUGGGCCUAAAACGUCCGUAGCCGGUUUGGUACAUUCGUGGGUAAAUCAAGGCGCUCAACGUCUUGAAUUCUGCGAGCACGGCCAGACUUGGGACCGGGUGAGGUGUGGGGUACUCUCAGGGUAGGGGUAAAAUCCUGUCAUCCUGAGAGGACCACCUGUUGCGAAGGCGCCACACUAGAACGGAUCCGACGGUCAGGGACGAAGCCUAGGGGCACGAACCGGAUUAGAUACCCGGGUAGUCCUAGGUGUAAACGCUGUGGACUUGAUGUUGGGAGUGCUCCGAGCACCCUCAGUGUCGAAGCGAAGGUGAUAAGUCCACUGCCUGGGGAGUACGGUCGCAAGGCUGAAACUUAAAGGAAUUGGCGGGGGAGCACUGCAACCUGAGGAUUGUGCG